rnacentral:rRNA from 1 species
CCGAACCAUCGAAUCUUUGAACGCAUAUUGCGCUCGACUCCUCGGAGAAGAGCAUGUCUAGCCUCAGCGUCGGUUUACACC